rnacentral:rRNA from 1 species
AGAUUGAACGCUGGCGGCAGGCCUAACACAUGCAAGUCGAGCGGUAGAGAGGUGCUUGCACCUCUUGAGAGCGGCGGACGGGUGAGUAAUGCCUAGGAAUCUGCCUAGUGGUGGGGGAUAACGUUCGGAAACGGACGCUAAUACCGCAUACGUCCUACGGGAGAAAGCGGGGGACCUUCGGGCCUCGCGCCAUUAGAUGAGCCUAGGUCGGAUUAGCUAGUUGGUGAGGUAAUGGCUCACCAAGGCGACGAUCCGUAACUGGUCUGAGAGGAUGAUCAGUCACACUGGAACUGAGACACGGUCCAGACUCCUACGGGAGGCAGCAGUGGGGAAUAUUGGACAAUGGGCGAAAGCCUGAUCCAGCCAUGCCGCGUGUGUGAAGAAGGUCUUCGGAUUGUAAAGCACUUUAAGUUGGAGAAGGUUGUAACUUAAUACGUUGCAACUUUGACGUUACGACAGAAUAAGCACCGGCUAACUCGUGCCAGCAGCCGA